AACGUAGGAGACGAGCGUUAUCCGGAUUUACUGGGCGUAAAGCGUGUGCAGGCGGUUCGGCAAGUUGGAUGUGAAAUCUCCCGGCUCAACUGGGAGGGGUCGUUCAAUACUACCGAACUUGAGGUCAUCAGAGGAAGGUGGAAUUCCGGGUGUAGUGGUGAAAUGCGUAGAUAUCCGGAGGAACACCAGUGGCGAAGGCGACACGCUGGGCCGUACCUGACGCUAAAGCGCGACAGCAUGGGGAGCAAACGGG
rnacentral:rRNA from 1 species